rnacentral:rRNA from 1 species
AAUAUUGGACAAUGGGGGCAACCCUGAUCCAGCCAUGACGCGUGUGUGAAGAAGGUCUUCGGAUUGUAAAGCACUUUACGUUGGGAGGAAGGGCUUUAGGCUAAUACCCUGAAGUAUUGAAGUUAACAACAGACUAAGCACAGGCUAACUCUGUGCCAGCAGCCGCGGUAAUACAGAAGGUGCAAGCGUUAAUCGGAAGUAAUGGGCGUAAGGCGCGCGUAGGUGGUUCAGUAAUAUUGGUGUGAAAUCCCCGGGCUUAACCUGGGAACUGCUUUCAUAACUGCUGAGCUAGAGUACGGUAGAGGGUAGUGGAAUUUCCUGUGUAGCGGUGAAAUGCGUAGAUAUAGGAAGGAACACCAGUGGCGAAGGCGACUACCUGGACUGAUACUGACACUGAGGUGCGAAAGCGUGGGGAGCAAAC